GGCAAACGGGUGCGGAACACGUACGCAACCUUCCCAAAACUGGUGAAUAGCCCUCCGAAAGGAGGAUUAAUACACCGUAACAUAAUGAGGUGGCAUCACUUUAUUAUUAUAGCUCCGGCGGUUUUGGAUGGGCGUGCGCCUGAUUAGGUAGUUGGCGGGGUAACGGCCCACCAAGCCUGCGAUCAGUAACUGGUGUGAGAGCACGACCAGUCACACGGGCACUGAGACACGGGCCCGACUCCUACGGGAGGCAGCAGUAAGGAAUAUUGGUCAAUGGACGCAAGUCUGGAACCNAGCCCAUGACCAGGCGUGAAGGGAUUGAAGGCCCUCUGGGUUGUAAACUUCUUUUAUCUGGGACGAAAAAAGAUCAUUCCUGAUCACUUGCACGGUACCAGAGGACAUAAGCACCGGCUAACUCCGUGCCAGC
rnacentral:rRNA from 1 species